AACGAACGCUGGCGGCAUGCCUAACACAUGCAAGUCGAACGAGACCUUCGGGUCUAGUGGCGCACGGGUGCGUAACGCGUGGGAACCUGCCCUUAGGUUCGGAAUAACUCCCCGAAAGGGGUGCUAAUACCGGAUAAUGUCUUCGGACCAAAGAUUUAUCGCCUUUGGAUGGGCCCGCGUUGGAUUAGCUAGUUGGUAGGGUAAAAGCCUACCAAGGCGACGAACCAUAGCUGGUCUGAGAGGAUGAUCAGCCACACUGGGACUGAGACACGGCCCAGACUCCUACGGGAGGCAGCAGUGGGGAAUAUUGGACGAUGGGCGAAAGCCUGAUCCAGCAAUGCCGCGUGAGUGAUGAAGGCCUUAGGGUUGUAAAGCUCUUUUACCCGGGAUGAUAAUGACAGUACCGGGAGAAUAAGCUCCGGCUAACUCCGUG
rnacentral:rRNA from 1 species